GAUGAACGCUGGCGGCGUGCCUAAUACAUGCAAGUCGAGCGAACAGACGAGGAGCUUGCUCCUCUGACGUUAGCGGCGGACGGGUGAGUAACACGUGGAUAACCUACCUAUAAGACUGGGAUAACUUCGGGAAACCGGAGCUAAUACCGGAUAAUAUAUUGAACCGCAUGGUUCAAUAGUGAAAGACGGUUUUGCUGUCACUUAUAGAUGGAUCCGCGCCGCAUUAGCUAGUUGGUAAGGUAACGGCUUACCAAGGCAACGAUGCGUAGCCGACCUGAGAGGGUGAUCGGCCACACUGGAACUGAGACACGGUCCAGACUCCUACAGGAGGCAGCAGUAGGGAAUCUUCCGCAAUGGGCGAAAGCCUGACGGAGCAACGCCGCGUGAGUGAUGAAGGUCUUCGGAUCGUAAAACUCUGUUAUUAGGGAAGAACAAAUGUGUAAGUAACUAUGUACGUCUUGACGGUACCUAAUCAGAAAGCCACGGCUAACUACGUG
rnacentral:rRNA from 1 species